CCACCCCUUCGCCUGAGACAACGAAGCUCUUUCUGGUGAGUUCUUAAGAGCCCUGGGUUUCUUUCGCAGAGAUGCCCUACGCCCUCUCUUCCCUGCACCUCGAAUCUCUCUUGCAGUGUAUCUCUAACCCUGCGAUAGCCCGAGGCUAACCUCGGGCCUCUGUUGGUUUGCAAGCAGCAAACCCUGAGCUCUGACACUCCACUCCCACACCGGACUCCUUCCUCUGCCCCCUGCACACUCUCUUGCCCACCUUAAAGGACUCCUCUCUCUGCCGCUACAUCUCUGCACUCUGUCCCCAGGACAGAUUGUCCCAUUCUCACCCAGUCCUCUGCGGAGGGGCCCUGAUUCCUCCUCCCUUUAACUCUCCUUCUAUUGUCAGGCUACCUGCUACUCCUGCAGCAUCAGCACAAAGGGGAAGGCUUGCCUCACCUUUCCCACCAGCCUCCCCCAUCUGCAGCCUGGGCCCCCCCUGCCCUCGGGGCACUGGAUUCAGGCUUCUCCUUUACACAUAGCACUUUGAGUCACAGUUAGCUCCCUUGCCCCUGGCUCAAGGAAGAGCUUUGGAAAAGAUGAGGACUGGGCGUUUUAGAUCUAUGGGGUUUCCAGCUCCACUUAGCAUCUAUUUCUUUAACAUGCAUUUGAACAGACAUUGAAUGAAGUUGAGAUGGUUGAUCCUGGAGACAAGAGUCACCCCUAAUGGUGGACUGGACUGUCACGUGCCAGCCACCAAGAGGAAAGCCAGAAGGGGAUUUACCUGUCAUAAGUGGGGUAUGGGUGUGGGAGGGCAAGCAACCCCGCACUGUAUGUCUCUUCUGAAUGGGAAGAAGCCCCUGUGAACCUUCCCCAGGGCUCGCUUGACAAGCCCCCCCCCCAUCUUAUUCCUUGUCGUUCAUUUUACCGAGCUCCAACUCUAUGUUGAAAGCUAAUGGGGAAACUGAGCCACAGGUCAAGCUGCUUACCCGAGAUCCCCCAGGGGGUCAGUGGAAGAGCUGGAAGACCGAGCUCACUCCACGGCCCCCACUCUUUACCUCUAUGCCAGAUGUUUGACAUGGAGGGAAGAGCUACGCAUUCCCUGGGUUUUGUCCAGCUUGGAAUCGGCCGGGAAUCUGACCUCCCAGCAGGUGGAGUCCACCAGCUUUGGGAGCAGCAGAGGUAA
rnacentral:lncRNA from 1 species